rnacentral:lncRNA from 1 species
GGGCUUUCUCCUGAGCCGUCGGAGGGAGCCGGAGCGCUCCUCUUGAGUUGGUGAUCGACCAUUUGUGGUCCAGCAUGCACAAGUGAGUGGUGAAAGGCUGCAGAGCUGAUGGGUCGUGAGGAUGUAAGUGCGUUUGAAGGCUCUCACACUCUCUACUCCAGGAAUCAUGAAUAAUAAACUGGAGGACAAGCAGGACCAGAUGAUACCAUGAAGAGAAGUUUACAGGCCCUCUAUUGCCAACUGAUAAGUAAGUUGAUGUCACAUUUAUUGUCUUCUAAAAGAGAACCAUGUUCUUGUUUGCCCAGUGCCAGAAACUUACACACUUUCUGAAGGAAGACCAGAAUAUGGUCAGUGAGGGAGAACGGUAAGUUUUUCCUCUCCUUCAUCUGGGUAUUUGUAGUAUCAAGCACUGAGUCGUUCUGUUGCUUUGGGCAUUAGUUACAGCGCAUAUUUCCUGUAGACUUCGUUAUAAUUCUCCAUUGGCAUGUUAAGCGCAGUCAAUUUGAAAACGAGUGUCAAAAUGUUAUUACUGCUGGUUUUGUGGCAGAAUAAAGGGUGGUCCAGUCUGAUCCUCCCUGGGUUCCUCAUGAAGAGGGAAUGGUAGGCGGUGGGGUUCAGUCACAAGGAACCUGCUAGCAUUCAGAGACUCUAUAGCCUUUGACUCGGAGUGUUUUGCAUAGUUAGACAUGUUCUUAAGUAACAAGUGGUGAAAGUGUGGCUUGUUUAGGUUUGGUGGUAGAAUGGAGAGCGUUCCAUCAUGGUUUUCUCCACAUGUUGCUCAAGCGUUUGGGGGAUUGUGCCACAAAAUGCCAAUUUAGUGACUGUAUGACCUCUAGAGUUGAAUUGUUACUGAGUGAAUGUAAAAACCAAUACAUUUGGUGAGUUUGAUGUUCAGAUGGACCCAUUUGGGACAACAGACACUGGCCUCUCCAGAUCAGACAAAAGCCAUUGAGUUAGGAAAACAUAAAAUUCACUGAGCUUGUCGGAUUGUUGCUGAGAUAAACAGAGGAACUAUUUUUUUUUUCUAGGCUGAAUGGCUCCUUGUUAACUUUUGCCAAGAAAAUAACAUGAAAAGAGAUUGAGAUGCAAAUCACCACUAAGCCCUUUGAAUUUAGUAAUUCAGGUUAUGUUGCACCUCCAGUGCAAAGCACUUUAUCUGCAGACAACAUUCUGGUUGGGUGUUUUAAUUGACUCAUUUUUGCUACUGAAUUCUAAUCCCUGAAACACAGAUCACGUCAGCCUGAUUUUAGCCUGGUGGAAUGUUGCCAAGAGUUAUAGGGGCUCUCUCAUGUUCUUUCUCUAUGCGUUCUAUAGGGUUUGUUGCCUUUUUAAAAAAUCAUAAGCUUACUUGUUAGAGAAAGGGCUUUAUGGAUUGAAGAAUAAAUGUCAUCAAGGAAAAAUUAAUUCUGCCAAGAUGGGAGAGGGAACAUUUGAAGGAUAAGUAGGAUUACACACACACAUACCCCCUCACCCUAAAGAGGGUGAAGCAAGUUUUGCAGGCAAAAGACACAAGAAAUGAAAAAGAGCAUAGUAUAUUUUAGAAUAUUUGUUGAAUUCACCUCUGCUGAUUAUAUGCCCCAAAGUUUGCAUAAUAUUUUAAGGUCAUGUAUUAUCUGAAAGGGAUUAGAAAAGUAUUCUGUGGUUUGGAGUCAAGUCUCAUGCUGUAACAAGGGCCAUCCUCCCAGGUUCAGUAUAACAGAAAGCUAAAGAGAUUUUCCUCAAACCUUGUCUGGAUAGCUGCAGAAAUCAACCUUGUCUUAACACUUUUAUUGUUUGCAAGCUUGUCUAGAAAUGCAGCAGCCUGGAGUAGAUAUUUUCUUGCUAGUUUAGGAGAUAAAUCAUUCUGGUUACUAGAUAGCUGUUUGUGGGCUGGAGCUCUGCUUUGUACAGCUCUGAGAAGGUGAAGAACUUGGGCACUACAUCAGUUAGUCUGACUUCAGGGAAUGGUUUUCACAAAUUCAUUGAGAUAAAGGGCUGCUAUUUGUAACAUUUUUUUUUCCUCAUGAGAGGAAUUAAAUAUUUGAUAAGGUCCUAGAUAACUUAAACUCCAGCAUACAUACACACGCAAUGUCAAAUAUGCCAUUGGUCAGUCGAUUGUUAAAUUACUCUUGGAUUAACAUUGUCCACUAACAGAAUUUUUUUAGUAAAAAAUAGACUUAAGAACUGCAGAAUCAACAUAAACUUAUUAUGUUACUUUAUGUAACUCCGCAAACUGGUGUUUUUAACUUGGGGGAAAAAAAC